rnacentral:tRNA from 1 species
GGUCCAUUCGUCUAUCGGUUAGGACACAAGAUUUUCAUUCUUGGAAGAGCGGUUCGAUUCCGCUAUGGACU